CUCUCUAUACACAUCUCAUGGCCCAUCCACUGGAUGUUAAGCAAGAUCAGGUCAUCGAAGGUUCAUUAACCCUUUCACAGAGCAAAAGAGUCCAUGGUUCGUGAAUAUUCACAGAAGCCAUCUCUCUCCCCUCACAGAUCUCUCUAUCGCUCACGCAUAAGCCCUCCCUCUCUCCUCACAGCCCAACCGUCUCGCUCUCUCCAUCACUCUCCGUCACGCAGAAACAGCAGUAGCAGAGCGCUCUCUACUGUCGCAGAAGUAGCAGCAGAGCUUCGAUUAUAUUCUAAACUAGAAGGGAAAAACGAGAUUGAACUACACAACAUGUCAUCAGUUUCCAUGAGUGUUGGAGGAUAUCUAUGGUGAACAUGUCCACGGUACAACUUGCAAUGGAAAUUAAGUAUAUCAAGCUCCCGAUCUAACCCUGGAAGAAUGUAUCAUCGGUGUACAAAUUGUAUUUUUUUCCAAUGGUACGAUGAAUAUAUGGAAGGGGUGAAUUAUAAUAUAAACUUGAGGCAUCAUGAUAUACAUCAAAACAAUCAGUCACAAGAAUCGCAAGAGUGUAUUAUGGCCAGGCCUGAAGCGAUGCUCAUUGAACAACAAAUUGUUGAUAAUUUAGGGCGUAUAAGUUUUUAGUUUUCUUAUGUGUAGCGAAUGCGUUUAUGUUUGUAUUACUUUUGUUAAAAAGUAUUUGAUAGGACUAGAUAGUUGGUCUCACAACCCAUGAAACAAUUUUUGGUGUUGAUAUUGGAUUUAGACUAGAGUGAAUUGAAGUCAAUAUGAUUUGUCUGCUUGUAGAAGACUACCUUGUGAUGGUCUCAUGCAAUUCCUUUGAAAGUCAAUAUGAUUUGUCUCUCUCCAA